UUUUUCAGCUUCUCUUACAGCCCUGUCAGUGGGGAGGCUGGGGGUGCACAAGGAACUUGCAGGGGACAGAACCAGGGCCCUACUUGUGGCAGUUCAGAUGGCUAAUGCUCUUGACAAAUGUUUCCUCAUUAUGUUUUAAAAUUUAUGUUCUAUAUACUUUUGCAUAGAUAUAGUUACGUUGGUCCAUGAUGUCAGGUGGAUGUUAGUGCUAUGGCAGCAGAGGCUGAACCUUCC
rnacentral:lncRNA from 1 species